ensembl:lncRNA
CAGGCGCAGACAGACAGACGCAGACAGACGCAGACAGACAGACAGACGCAGACAGACAGACAGACGCAGACAGGCAGGCAGGCAGGCAGACAGACGCAGACAGACAGGCAGACAGGCAGGCACAGGCAGACAGGCACAGGCAGACAGGCGCAGACAGACAGGCACAGGCAGACAGGCACAGGCAGACAGGCACAGGCAGACAGACAGGCAGACAGACAGGCAGACAGACAGGCAGACAGGCACAGGCAGACAGGCGCAGACAGACAGACGCAGACAGACGCAGACAGACAGACAGACGCAGACAGACAGGCAGACAGGCAGACAGACAGGCAGACAGACAGGCACAGGCAGACAGGCACAGGCAGACAGGCGCAGACAGACAGACGCAGACAG